CCACUCUAUCCUUAACCUAAUUCUAAUCUUCCUCGCUUUUGUGAAUAUUUGCUUUAAUCUUCUUCAUCUUCAUGUUGUUUUCUAUGGUUUCUGAUUUCAAGAUUUCAUCCA